rnacentral:tRNA from 1 species
GAGAUAGUAGCUUUAAGUAUCGCUUUUGCAUAGCGAAGGUUUUAUCUCG